UACGUAGGUGGCAAGCGUUGUCCGGAUUUACUGGGCGUAAAGAGCGCGCAGGCGGUCGAUCAAGUCGCGUGUGAAAGCCCCCGGCUCAACUGGGGAGGGUCACGCGAUACUGAUCGACUCGAAGGCAGGAGAGGGUAGUGGAAUUCCCGGUGUAGUGGUGAAAUGCGUAGAUAUCUGGAGGAACACCGGUGGCGAAGGCGGCGAUCCUGGACCGGCUAGUUGACGCGUGAGGCGCGAAAGCCAGGGGAGCAAAGCGGGGAUUAAG
rnacentral:rRNA from 1 species